GCUGAGAAGCGAAAAGCCGCAGGCGGCCGCCGACUUCACAGCCGCUCGGGGUUUUUAGAGCUUCAGCUAUAAAAAUGGGCAGGAUUUUCCUUGAUCAUAUCAGUGGUACCCGUCUGUUUUCCUGUGCAAACUGCGAUACGAUCCUGACCAAUCGUUCGGAACUCAUCUCUACUCGAUUCACAGGCGCCACUGGCAGAGCAUUUCUUUUUAACAAGGUAGUUAACCUACAGUAUAGUGAAGUUCAAGAUCAGGUCAUGCUCACUGGCCGCCACAUGGUUCGAGACGUGAGCUGCAAAAACUGCAAUAGCAAACUGGGAUGGAUCUAUGAGUUUGCCACUGAAGACAGCCAGAGUUAUAAGGAAGGUCGUGUGAUCCUGGAACGCGCUCUAGUUCGAGAAAGUGAGGGCUUUGAGGAGCAUGUACCAUCUGAUAACUCUUGAAGAAAAAGAAAUCCAUCUUUUCCUAGGUCUCCUUCACUGAAAACAAAAAUCUACUUACAUACACUGUCACCUUAGCAUCAGAGUCGGAUUCAUGAACUGUGGAACAAGAGGUUGUGAGAAUCUUUGAUGGAACCUUCCUUUCUUUCCUUUUUUUUUUAAAAUUUUCUAUUUUCCAUCCAACAGCAGUGUGUAGAGAGAAUAUUAUGCAGAUGCCUUUUUUUUUCCCCCUGUGUUUACAUCUUGAGGCAGAAUAGUCUAUCUGCAGCUACAUGGUGGGCUAUGUGAGGAAAAAAAUCUGGGCUAUUAAGAGUGAAAAAGUAUUUUAUGUAAAUUUUGCAAGGAAAAUGUGUCAAGAGCAUGGUUUUUAAGUUUAUUUGGGCUUCAUUUUAAGACUUUUUUCUAAAGCUCAGUUAUUUCAUUUGAUUUGCCAGCUUCAGAGGAGAGAUCCGAGUCUGUGACCAGCGCUGAAGGCUCAGUGCUAGUGUUGCUCGUGCUGGCCAUUGUGCCAUGUUCUUGUUGGGGAUGAACCGUAGCAUCAGAGCCCAUUCUUCCUUGUCAGUCCUGACCCAAAGAUGUCACCAUUCCUAGUUAUUUGUCACCACAUGAUUGGUGUUGAUUGGAAACUUUUCCUGAUGUGGGGCAGAACUGCUUGGUUGUCUUUUCCAUGUAACUUAAGCAUAGUAAUAUAAAUAAAGUAAUAGUUGGAAAAAAAAA